CCUACGGGAGGCAGCAGUGGGGAAUAUUGGGCAAUGGGCGCAAGCCUGACCCAGCAACGCCGCGUGAAGGAAGAAGGCUUUCGGGUUGUAAACUUCUUUUAAGAGGGAAGAGUAGAAGACGGUACCUGACGAAUAAGCCACGGCUAACUACGUGCCAGCAGCCGCGGUAAUACGUAGGUGGCAAGCGUUGUCCGGAUUUACUGGGUGUAAAGGGCGUGUAGCCGGGUUGACAAGUCAGAUGUGAAAUCCUGCGGCUUAACCGCAGAACUGCAUUUGAAACUGUUGAUCUUGAGUACUGGAGAGGCAGACGGAAUUCCUAGUGUAGCGGUGAAAUGCGUAGAUAUUAGGAGGAACACCAGUGGCGAAGGCGGUCUGCUGGACAGCAACUGACGGUGAGGCGCGAAAGCGUGGGGAGCAAACAGGAUUAGAUACCCCGGUAGUC
rnacentral:rRNA from 1 species